GUGCUUGGUCAGGCAGCACUUGUGCUAAAACUGGGAUGUUAUAGAGAUCAGCACAGCCCUGGGCAAGGGGAGCAUACAUAUUCAAGAAGUUUUCUGUAUUUUU
rnacentral:snRNA from 1 species